CCCCUAGAUGUUCUGGGCCGCACGCGCGCUACACUGAACAGUUCAACAAGUCUUAACCUUGGCCGAUAGGUCUGGGUAAUCUUUGAACGCUGUUCGUGAUUGGGAUAGACCUUUGCAAUUAUGGGUCUUCAACGAGGAAUUCCUAGUAAACGCAAGUCAUCAGCUUGCAUUGAUUACGUCCCUGCCCUUUGUACACACCGCCCGUCGCACCUACCGAUUGAAUGGUCCGGUGAAAUCUCGGGACGGCGGCUUGGUCGCUUGCGUCCGACUGCUGAAACUUGAUUAAACCAUAGCAUUUAGAGGAAGGUGAANUCGUANCA
rnacentral:rRNA from 1 species